UACGUAGGGUGCAAGCGUUAAUCGGAAUUACUGGGCGUAAAGCGUGCGCAGGCGGUCCGUUAAGACAGAUGUGAAAUCCCCGGGCUUAACCUGGGAACUGCAUUUGUGACUGGCGGACUCGAGUAUGGCAGAGGGGGUAGAAUUCCACGGUGUAGCAGUGAAAUGCGUAGAGAUGUGGAGGAAUACCGAUGGCGAAGGCAGCCCC
rnacentral:rRNA from 1 species